UACGUAGGUGGCAAGCGUUGUCCGGAUUUACUGGGCGUAAAGAGCGCGCAGGCGGCUGGUCAAGUCCGAUGUGAAAUCUCCAAGCUUAACUUGGAAAUGGCAUCGGAUACUAUUCGGCUCGAGGAAUGGAGGGGAGACUGGAAUACUUGGUGUAGCAGUGAAAUGCGUAGAUAUCAAGUGGAACACCAGUGGCGAAGGCGAGUCUCUGGACAUUUCCUGACGCUGAGGCGCGAAAGCGUGGGGAGCAAACAGG
rnacentral:rRNA from 1 species